UCGUCCCGCCGGCGGCAGCCGCGUCCGGGCGGGCGGCGCUGGGGGCUGGUCCCGGCCGCGGCGGGGGGGGCCGGGGCGGGGCGGCGCGGCCGGGGAGGGACGGGGCGGGGGCGCGGCGGAGCGGCGGGGACGGACCGGGCCGCGGGGGGAUGGAGGAGCGGCGGGAUAUGGGAGGCCGGCGAUGGGAACGCGGGACACGGGGCUAGGGUCAUAGGACACAGUGCCAUCCCUGCAGAGCCCCGGGGAGGAGGCUGUGACCCUCGGGGUGGAGAGCAGCAGCUGUGUCAGCCCAGGUGCUGCCUGCUCGGGCCGGAGGUGAUGCCGAGGACAUCCUGCCCGGGACACAGCGCUCCUUCCCAACGGGCCCUGAAGGUCACCGCUUGCCUUUCUACGCCUCACCGGCGGAAACAGACCUGGGGGCAGGUGCCCGCCUGUCCUGCCGGCUGCCCACGGGACACAGCCUGGCCACCCACAGGCAUCUACACAAAAAUCUCUGGCUGGACAGCAGGCAAGACAAUACCCACAACCCUUAUUUGGACUCAGCUUUGGGGAAGAGCUGCAGUUCCCCAGCAGCGCUGGAACCCAGG
rnacentral:lncRNA from 1 species